rnacentral:rRNA from 1 species
CGUUUGCGGUGGGCUUAACACAUGCAAGUCGAACGGCAGCACGGGGGCUUGCUCCUGGUGGCGAGUGGCGAACGGGUGAGUAAUGCAUCGGAACGUACCCAGUAGUGGGGGAUAGCCCGGCGAAAGCCGGAUUAAUACCGCAUAUUUCCUGAGGGAGAAAGCGGGGGACCUUCGGGCCUCGCGCUACUGGAGCGGCUGAUGUCGGAUUAGCUAGUUGGUGAGGUAAAGGCUCACCAAGGCGACGAUCCGUAGCUGGUCUGAGAGGAUGAUCAGCCACACUGGGACUGAGACACGGCCCAGACUCCUACGGGAGGCAGCAGUGGGGAAUUUUGGACAAUGGGGGCAACCCUGAUCCAGCCAUGCCGCGUGAGUGAAGAAAGCCUUCGGGUUGUAAAGCUCUUUCAGGUGGAAAGAAAUCACUACCCCGAAUACGGGUGGUGGAUGACGGUACCAUCAGAAGAAGCACCGGCUAACUACGUG